rnacentral:rRNA from 1 species
AAAAAGGUACAUAAGGGCACUGAUAGUGGAUGCCUUGACAAUCAAUACCGACGAAGGACGUAGAACUCUGCGAUAAGUCUCGGGGAGCUGAGAGCAAGCUUUGAUCCGGGAAUCUCCGAAUGGGGCAACCUAAUAUGAGUCAUGUCAUAUUGCAUUUACCUGAACACAUAGGGUAAAUAGACGGGAACCGACCGAACUGAAUCAUCUUAGUAGGCCGAGGAAAAGAGAAUAACCAAUGAUUCCGAAAGUAGUGGCGAGCGAAAUUGGAACAGCCCAAACCUUAAGAUAACCUUACGGUUUAACGACCAGAGUUAUUAAAGGGGUUGCGAAAUUAGAUAAUUUUAAUGCAGGGUAUUUGAGUUAUCAAAUAUCGCGCAUUAAAAGGAACAGCGUUAACUGAGUCCAUAAUGAUAUAACCUUUAGAUCGUAGCGGAAGUGUUUGAAUGGCACACCAAAGAGGGUGAAAGUCCCGUAUGCGAAACGGUCUUAGGCAUUAUAUAUCUUUUUUCAAGUAGGACGGGGCACGAGAAACCCUGUUUGAAUCCGGCAGGACCACCUGCCAAGGCUAAAUAUAUUGAUUGAUCGAUAGCGAACUAGUACAGUGAUGGAAAGGUGAAAAGAACCCCGGGAGGGGAGUGAAAUAGAUCCUGAAACUCAGUGCCUACAAGGUGUCGGAGCAGCUUCGGCUGUGACGGCGUGCUUUUUGUAGAACGAUCCAGCGAGUUAAUGUUGUCGGCGAGGCUAAGUCAGAUGAUGGAGCCACAGUGAAAGCGAGCCUUAACAAGGCGACAAGUCGGCAGUAUUAGACCCGAAACCGGGUGACCUAACCAUGAGCAGGUUGAAGCUGCGGUAACACGCAGUGGAGGACCGAACCAGGGUACGCAGUAAAGUGCUUGGAUGACUUGUGGUUAGCGGUGAAAUGCCAAUCGAACUCGGAGAUAGCUGGUUCUCCUCGAAAUAGCUUUAGGGCUAGCGUUGUGUAGUAACCAUCAGGGGUAGAGCUCUGACAGGGUCUGGGGCCGGCAACGGUACCCAUCCCUAUCAAACUACGAAUACUGGUGGCGGAAUCACGGCAGUCAGAACGGCGGGGCUAAGCUCGUCGCUCAAAAGGGAAACAGCCCAGAUCAUCGUCUAAGGUCCCUAAUUAUCACUAAGUGGGAAACAAGGUGAGGUUUCUUAAACAGCUAGGAUGUUGGCUUAGAAGCAGCCAUUCAUUUAAAGAGUGCGUAACAGCUCACUAGUCAAGAGACUUUGCGUGGAAAAUGUAACGGGGCUAAGCGAAAAACCGAAGACAUGGGAUUCUACUUUGUAGGAUCGGUAGAGGAGCGUUGAUAUUGCGGUGAAGCAGUAUUGUAAAGUACUGUGGAGCGGUAUCAAGUGAGAAUGCUGGAAUCAGUAACCUUAAGACAGGUGAGAAUCCUGUCGG